rnacentral:rRNA from 1 species
GAUGAACGCUAGCUACAGGCUUAACACAUGCAAGUCGAGGGGAAACGAUAUUGGAAGCUUGCUUCCGAUAGGCGUCGACCGGCGCACGGGUGAGUAACGCGUAUCCAACCUGCCCACCACUUGGGGAUAACCUUGCGAAAGUAAGACUAAUACCCAAUGAUGUCCAUAGAAGACAUCUGAAAUGGAUUAAAGAUUUAUCGGUGAUGGAUGGGGAUGCGUCUGAUUAGCUUGUUGGCGGGGUAACGGCCCACCAAGGCGACGAUCAGUAGGGGUUCUGAGAGGAAGGUCUCCCACAUAGGAACUGAGACACGGUCCAAACUCCUACGGGAGGCAGCAGUGAAGAAUAUUGGUCAAUGGGCGAGAGCCUGAACCAGCCAAGUAGCGUGCAGGAUGACGGCCCUAUGGGUUGUAAACUGCUUUUAUAAGGGAAUAAAGUGAGUCUCGUGAGACUUUUUGCAUGUACCUUAUGAAUAAGGACCGGCUAAUUCCGUGCCAGCCGCCGCAGUAA